rnacentral:rRNA from 1 species
UGAGCAAUCUGCCCUUCUCUUCGGAAUAAGCGUUGGAAACGACGUCUAAUGCCGAAUACGACCUCCUUUCGCAUGAUCGGAGGUGGAAAGCUCCGGCGGAGAAGGAUGAGCUCGCGGCCUAUCAGCUAGGUUGGUGUGGGUAAUGGCCCACCAAGGCGACGACGGGUAGCCGGCCUGAGAGGGUGACCGGCCACACUGGGACUGAGACACGGCCCAGACUCCGUACGGGAGNAG